rnacentral:lncRNA from 13 species
UGUGUUCAUCCGUUCUGAGCUCAUUACCAAAGCAGAAGCAUGAGUUAAAAUAUGUCUUUUGCUAAUUUCUGGAGUGGAAGAGGGAACAAUGAAGCUGUAAGACACUCCAGGGUGGGCAUUAUGACCUAAUAAAGACAUGCCCUGGUAGUUUUGACAGAGUGCCAUUAACUGCCAAGGCACAUCAUUGCUCGUCUGUAAUACACACCCUGGAGUGUCUUGUCUGGAAGACGUAAAUGUUAAUUCCUAAAGAAACUCAUUCAGCAAAAGAAGACACCAAUGUUCUAAGAAGAGGAAUAUGUGAAAAUUCCACAUCUCCUGGGCUUGACCUGAUUCCAAGAGGAAUGGUGUCACUAUUAGAGGCUUUCCAACCUCCUUCCGGGAGCAGGCUGCUAUUGAUUGAAGGUGCCUCCAGGCUGAAACUCGUAGAUAAAAUAGCUCUUCUGUCUACACACAGAAGUAUGUACACAUGGAGAAAUGUUUUGUUAUCCUGCUUCAAGACACCACAGAGUAAACAUACCUCAAAACUCACAGAGGGAAGAAAAUGCAAAAUGAUGUCAGGAGAGAAGCAGAUCCAGGCGGAAUAUCACCAUGAGGCAGCAGAUCCUUGAUUCGAACAUCCGCUUAACGAUAAUAUAGAUACCACGUGAGAUAUGUUUCAAAACUGGAUAGCAAGUUGUGAACUGUUUUGAAGCCAGGUGGUUAUUUUCGUUGUUGUUAAAUAGUGCAUAUAUUCAUAGUAAGAAGUCAAUAACUCUCAAAUAUUUGUAGUAGAUUUUAAUAGACCCCAAAAGUGAAGGUGAAAUUUUCCCAAACAGAUUCUUUCUUCUCUAGCAAAUCACUUCCAGACUCUAUUGGAACAAAAAAGAAGUUCUUUUAAGCUUUUCUUUUCUUUUUUCUUUUCUUUUGAGAUGGAGUCUCGCUCUGUCACCCAGGCUGGAGUGCAAUGGCUCUAUCUCGGCUCACUGCAACCUCCACCUCCCGAGUUCAAGCAAUUCUCCUGCCUCAGCCUCCUGAGUAGCUGGGAAUGCAGGUGCCCACUACCAUGCCCAGCUUAUAUUUGUAUUUUUAGUAAAGACAGGGUUUCAUCAUGUUGGCCUGGAUGGUCUGGAUCUCCUGUCCUUGUGAUCCACCCACCUUGGCCUCUCAAAAUGCUGGGAUUACAGGCAUGAACCACCUCGCCAGGCAUUUUUUUUUUUUUUUUUGAGACUGAGUUUCACUCUUGUUGCCCAGGCUAAAGUACAAUGGUGCAAUCUCAGCUCACUGCAACCUCCCCCUCCAGGGUUCCAGUGAUUCUCCUGCCACAGCCUCCCAAGUAUCUGGGAUUAUAGGCGUGAACCACCAUGCCCUGCUAAUUUUGUAUUGUUUUAGUAGAGAAGGGGUUUCACCAUGUUGGUCAUGCUGGUCUUGAACUCCUGACCUCAAGUGAUCUACCUGCCUCAGUCUCCUAACGCACUUGGAGGGAUUAUAGGCAUGAGCCACUGUACCUCGCCCUAUUACCAUUUUUUUCUACAUAAGAAACUACAAAGAACAUUUAAAAUGAUUUAGUAUAUAUGCUCAGAAUUCUGGCAGUUUCACUAAAGGCCAUAAAAACCAACUGCAUUAACACUUCUUUUUUUUGAGACAGGGUCACUGCAACCUCUGCCUCGUGGGUUCAAACGAUCCUCAUGCCUCGGCCUCCCAAGUAGCUAGGACUACAGUCACAUGCCACCACGUACAGCUAAUUUUUUUUUUUUUUUUUUUUUUGGUAGAGAUAGGGUUUCACUGUGUUGGCCCUGCUGGUUUCAAACUCCUGGCCUCAAGUGAUCCACCCACCUUGACCCCUUCAAAGUGCUGGGUUUACAGGCAUGAGCCACUGCACCUGGCCUCAGUGAACACUUAUCCCCACACUUCUGUACCCUUGACAGGGGUGUUUUGAGGGUACUGGUAAUAACUGAAAAAUUAAAUAUAAAUGAAAUUGGAAGAUGUGUUUCAUAAACAUUUUGGGCAGACUUGCAUGGCUAUGUUCUUUGCACCCCUCUAUGAAUACGGCAUGAAGGAGCUCAGCUGCUACAACAGAGGACUUCCACCUUCUGCGUUCGGUUUUCUCUGAAAUCUUCUGGCAAACGAAUGGCACUACUGAUAAAAAUUCAACAGCUGCAUAAUUAUACCCAUGAGUUUCUUCUGCGGGAAGCAGCAUUUGACAGCAAACGUGAUUUGACCACGUGACUAAAGCUACACCACUGUUUAGGUUAGAAUUAAAAAAUAUAAGGAGACAUAUGGGGACAACUCUGUAUAUAAAUAUCAGUAGUGGAAAGAGAAAAUUGCAUGUUGUAUUAUAAUUUCAUGGACUUUUUGCUUUUCUUAUUUCCACAGAUUUGAUUAUUAAUAAUAAAUUACACAUCUAAAGGAAUUUAUAGCUCCCC